rnacentral:misc_RNA from 1 species
GACCCACGGGCGGUGUUGCUGGUCCAGAUGACGUUGGUGCCGGAGAAGAUGACGAGGUUGCCGUUGCUCUGAAGGGUGGCCACGCAACUGGUACCCUGUCCGUUCGUCCUGGAGGCCCAGAGAGCCUUGUUGCCGUUGACGUAGAGGACCAGGUUGCAGUCGCCCUGCAUGAUGAACUUGUAGGGAGGGUGUUCUAGAUACUCAUUGGCCAGCAAGCUCUCACCAUCGAAGAGGAGGUCCUCGGCUUGGACCGCAGUGGCUGUGAGAAGAG